rnacentral:lncRNA from 1 species
GUCAAGCACAGAAAAAACACUUGCUAACCUAGGCUCCAUUGCCUUAAACUUUUGUCACCAGUCAAGCACAGAAAAAACACUUGCUAACCUAGGCUCCAUUGCCUUAAACUUUGUUCAUCAGUUAAGACAAGAGUUAAGUCCAUCUAGUGGAGAGAAAGAAGGAUGGGAAAAGUUUCUUAGGCGUGAAUGUCAAAACAAAAUUAUGUCAUCAAGGCUCCUGGUGUAGUUUCCUUUUGUGGGAUGAUUUUAAUCUGGUUUUGGAAGAAUAUGUUUCUGGGGUGAUGGCUUUUAGAGAAUAUGUGACCUGUGGCUACCAGGCUUGGCCAUUCUACCAACUACCUGUAGCUGAUGUGACAAUGGUUCAAGGCAAGGCAGCCA